rnacentral:lncRNA from 1 species
CGGGUACUCCCGCUGCAGCCCCCGAAGCUCCAUCUCCUCCGGAUCACUCACCGAGCCCGUGGACAUCCCGUUGUCCCCCUUGCCCACACGCGUCCUCUUUCCUCCCCCCUGGCCAGUCUCGCUGUCUCCGCCUUCCGCUCCCUGGCGGAGGCGGAGGCCAGAGAGCGCUCCAAGGAAGACUAAAAACCCAGGCCGGGAAGCGCGGGGUGAGAAAGCGAGGUGGGUGGCGAGAGCGUGAGCGCCCCUCUGCUGACCCCGGGGAGCGUGGACUACGAGUUGGCGCCCAAGUCCAGAAUCCGCGCGCACCGCGGAAAAUAUUUGCAAUACCUGCCACGUCCAAGGUUCAGCUGAGGCCAAUGUAAAGCCAGUAUUAUAGGACACUUCUCAGACUGAGAGCCCAAUGUCGUUGGAAACCACUGGGCCACAGGAAAGGCAGGCUCUCUCAGUCCUGCUCCUGCCAUGGAAGAAGCCUGCUCCCACCAUGCCUUCUGCCACGAGUAAAAGUUCCCUGAGGCCUCCCCAGAAGCAGAUGCUGUCGUGCUUCCUGUAUAGCUGCAGAACUACAGAAUCUCACUCUGUCGCCCAGGCUGCUGGGAUGCAAUGGUGUGGCGUGAUCUCGGCUCACUGCAACUAAUUUGGAGCAUCUUUCUAAGACUUUGCAUGUAAAUGUGACUGGAUGGCCAUCUGUCAGGAAAAGACUAGAAGAAUUGAAUUGGAAAAGCGAAAAAAAUAAAAGUGGAUGAAGACGUCGUUAUUUUAGUCAAUUCAUUUACUGAUAGCACUUGUGGUCCCAAAUGGGCCCUGGGUCUGGUCUGGGGCAGCCUUGGGGUCAUUGUUUAUUAUGAUCCUCACUACCAGUUCUUCCUUUCUGCCACUGAGAGAGGCUAGGCCUGCCAUGUCCUCAGACCAGCUCCUACCUGUAACCGCCUCGGUCUGCACAAGAAGGCAGAGCAAGGCCACUGCAUACAGAUUUUGAAUACAUUCUGUCUGUCCAAUAAGCCACUCAAAGAUUUUUGCCUUUCUCUGGGCUAUCAGAUACUGAACAAGAAGAAAAUGGACUUGUUUUUAUUUAUCUUCUCCUUUUGGAAGUCUAGUCUCUCAAUCAUGAACUUCAGCACCUUGUGCUCCUUCUGCUCUUAUGCAAACUCUCUUUCAGAUAACUAAUGAUAUCAAUAGGAUAAUUUACUGUGGCCAUGCACUCAUGAGACGAGGACUUCAAGGCCUCUGCCUGGGCCAUUAAUCAGGGAAGUUCAUCCUCUAUGCCCAUGUCCUUCUCCUGAUAAUAGACACUCAGUAAAUAUUUGUUGAAUGAAUAAACCAGUCAGCCAAGAAAGCUAAUUUUUUUUAAUUUUUAUUUCUGGCAAAAUACAAUUUUUUGUUGCACUUAUAAUAGUAAUAGGAUGAAGAUGUGUUUUAAAAUAAUGUCUAUUAGUUAAUUAGGAGGAUUAAUCCUAUGCUCACUGGAAGAUAACUAUCACAGUGAUGAAUUGUGUUUGCCCUCAAGUUCUGUAGAAAUAAAAUCAGUUGAAGCAUCACGUGUAGAAAAGGUGAAAGCAGAAUUGCAACAGAACUGGCAGAGUCCGAACAAAGGAGAGCUCCAAUAAUAUCCAGUUACUACAGAAAACACAGUGCCUGGCACAUGAAUACUAAGUGUUCG